CCUACGGGUGGCAGCAGUGGGGAAUAUUGGACAAUGGGCGAAAGCCUGAUCCAGCCAUGCCGCGUGUGUGAAGAAGGCCUUCGGGUUGUAAAGCACUUUCAGUGGGGAAGAAAGCCUUGGGGCUAAUACCCUCGAGGAAGGACAUCACCCACAGAAGAAGCACCGGCUAACUCCGUGCCAGCAGCCGCGGUAAUACGGAGGGUGCGAGCGUUAAUCGGAAUUACUGGGCGUAAAGCGCGCGUAGGCGGUCUGAUAAGCCGGUUGUGAAAGCCCCGGGCUCAACCUGGGAACGGCAUCCGGAACUGUCAGGCUAGAGUGCAGGAGAGGAAGGUAGAAUUCCCGGUGUAGCGGUGAAAUGCGUAGAGAUCGGGAGGAAUACCAGUGGCGAAGGCGGCCUUCUGGACUGUCACUGACGCUGAGGUGCGAAAGCGUGGGUAGCAAACAGGAUUAGAUACCCUAGUAGUC
rnacentral:rRNA from 1 species